rnacentral:rRNA from 1 species
UUAAAGGAAUUGACGGAAGGGCACCACCAGGAGUGGAGCCUGCGGCUUAAUUUGACUCAACGCGGGGAAACUUACCCGGCCCGGACACCGUAAGGAUUGACAGAUUGAGAGCUCUUUCUUGAUUCGGUGGGUGGUGGUGCAUGGCCGUUCUUAGUUGGUGGAGCGAUUUGUCUGGUUAAUUCCGAUAACGAACGAGACUCUAGCCUAUUAAAUAGUCGGUGAAUCCUUUGUUCACUGCACUUCUUAGAGGGACAGAAGGCGUCUAGCCUUACGAGAUUGAGCAAUAACAGGUCUGUGAUGCCCUUAGAUGUUCGGGGCUGCACGCGCGCUACACUGAAGGAUUCAACGUGAUUCUUCGCCUGUUCUGGAAAGAAUGGGUAACCCGUUGAAACUCCUUCGUGAUUGGGAUAGGGGCUUGUAAUUAUUCCCCUUGAACGAGGAAUUCCUAGUAAGUGCGGGUCAUCAUCUCGCGUUGAUUACGUCCCUGCCCUUUGUACACACCGCCCGUCGCUACUACCGAUUGGAUGAUUUAGUGAGGAGUUCGGACCGGCGCCAAAGCGGCUUCGCGGUUGCUUCGGCGAUUGGGAAGAUUUCCAAACUGGAUUAUCUAGAGGAAGUAAAAGUCGUAACAAGGUUUCC